CACUUAUCCAGAAAGGCGGAGGGACUUGGCCCUGCGAUGCCUUAGCAACCUUUCCUGAUUAUUACAAUCAGGAAAAAGGUGCUAAUUCCUGCCCCGGUGCAAAUCGGGGAAAGAUAAGUU
rnacentral:ncRNA from 1 species